UAUAUUCCUCCAUUUUUCACAUAAGGAAUUUAUCAACACCAUCUUACCAUCUUGUCGGAAGAUAUGACCGUCGAUACACCACCGUCGUCACCAUCGUCAUCAUCGUCGUCUCCACAACAGCCACCAUCAGCCACCCUUCUAGAACACGACCACUACCAUCAUCUUCAUGCCUUAUUUUCUUCGAUUCCGGAUUUGGAACACCACCAUCUACCUUCCUUGAUGCCGCCUACCGGAAACCAUAAGUCGUCGUCGUGGCUACUAGGGUUUUCAUAGACCUGGAACGCUGCUGUCGUCACUGGAUAUUAAACCGUUAACUUCGUUGACGUUGUCAAGAUCCAUCAUAAACUGUAGCUUCGAUGAAAUAAGAUGGUGUUCUCAGAUCGCCUCCAUUUUUCUCUCUCUAAAAUCUAUAAACCUUGCAAACCUACCUCCGUGAUGCGUCGUCAUUUUCAUCGAUAUGGAUUUUAAGUUUGUGAUGCGAAGGGUUGUUUUUGGCGAGAAGGGAGAGGUUCAACGAGAAGGGCGGUGGCAUUAAGGUUCCUAGUAGUGGAACCAAGAUCUUUGAAGAAAUAGAGAUCAACGGAGGGUGGUCCGUUGGAAAGGUAUUGCAGAUCUAGUUUUUUCGGAUCUACUUUGUCGGAGAGGGUGGCACCAGUGGUGGUUAUCUCUGGUAAACAAAAAUUGCGGAUUUUCAAAUCGAUGUUCUAGAUCUACGUUGUCGGAGAGGAUUACUAUGAAAACGACGACGUUCCAACGACGACGCACAAACCCUUCGGCAAAAGAUCCGACGUGAAAGUGAUGGUGCUCUGGUUAAAUGGUGAAGCUCCGGUGACCACCGAUGGUGGUAUUUUGGUAGCCAAUGAAGAGAGAGAGAGAGAGAGAGAGAGAGAGAGAGGGAGGGAGAGGCCUAGUAUUUUAAAAUAGAUAGGGUAGGUUGGGGGUUAGUAGGAGGUGGGUUGAGGGUUGAUAUUUUCUUUAAUCAGAUACAUAAAAAAAUACGAAAAAUAAAAAAGUAAGAGUAAAACCGUCAUUAUAAAAAAGUUCAAAGCAAAUUGGAUAAAACUCACAACAAAAUCAAAGUUUUGGACCGGUGGUGCUAGUCCAAAACGUUUUGGACCAAGUGGCAAUUUUUGACAUACCACAUGGACCUAUUUUUGCAGUUUUGUCUUGAUUUUAUUUAGAUGGCAUCCAAACUCUAUAUGAAAAUCCACUUCCACAAUUGUCAUAUGCUUUGGUUGAAGCGAAAACAAGGAUUCAUGGACAUGGUUUUUGACACACUUGGGAGAGGGUUUGGAGAUGGGAAGCAACUCGAACUUCACAUUUAUCAGUAACAGAAAAUAGGUAUGCAAUUCACAAUUCACUUAUUUUUUAUUUUGAUUUUUAAUUACUAAGCCUAUUAUGUUUUUCUCAUGGGGUGAUACCUGCAACUGCCCAUGUGUUUCCAAAUGUCGAGCAUCGAUAUUGUUUAAGGUAUAUCCAUGACAACAUGAGAGUUUAGUGGAAGGGUGAUGACAUCAAGGAUCAAGUGUGGAUUUGUGGCAAGGCAAGCAUAGGUGAUACCUAAAAUUACCCAUGUGUUUCCAAAUGUCGAGCAUCAAUAUUGUUUGAGGCAUAUCCAUGAGAACAUGAGAGUUUAGUGGAAGGGUGAUGACAUCAAGGAUCAAGUGUGGAUUUAUGGCAAGGCAACCACAAUAAUACAUUUCAAUAAGGCCAUGACAGAGUUGCAUAAAAUGAACAAUGAAGGUCAUUCCUGGUUAAGUAACAUUCCACCAAAAUAUUAAUCCAUUUUUUGGUAUGUGUCACACCCCCAAACUGGAACGGCGGAAAUGUUCGGGGGCGGAGGACGUCAUGUACAGUAACAUAACAAUGCACAAUAGUAAACAAGCAACAACAUCAUCCAUUACAUUAAUAAUAUACUUUAAUAUAAGUGUGUUCUGUGUACAGUUUGAAAGACACCAAAAUAUGAAUCAAAAUAAGAGACGAGUCUCGAAUUUUCCGUCUCCUCAAAACCUGGUCCAGCAUACCUGUCUACUGGUGACCCGAGAAUACAAGUUAUUUUGCAAGAGUAGAUAAACAUUUAAGCUGGUGAGUUCAUAAGUAUUUUAGUGUCAAUGUUUGUAUAAGUUUGAUGAAAGUGUUUGUAAAUGUUCGAUGUAAAAUGUUUGUAAGAGUUUGGUGUAAA